AUUGAACGCUGGCGGCAGGCCUAACACAUGCAAGUCGAACGAGUGGCGGACGGGUGAGUAAUGUCUGGGAAACUGCCCGAGGGAGGGGGAUAACUACUGGAAACGGUAGCUAAUACCGCAUACCAUCGGGUGUGCCCAGAUGUGAUUCGCCAGAAGUGGGGGUAAAGGCUCACCGAGGCGACGAUCCCUAGCUGGUCUGAGAGGAUGACCACCCACACUGGAACUGAGCCACGGUCCAGACUCCUACGGGAGGCAGCAGUGGGGAAUAUUGCACAAUGGGCGCAAGCCUGAUGCAGCCAUGCCGCGUGUAUGAAGAAGGCCUUCGGGUUGUAAAGUACUUUCAGCGGGGAGGCGUUACCCGCAGAAGAAGCACCGGCUAACUCCGUGCCAGCAGCCGCGGUAAUAU
rnacentral:rRNA from 1 species